GGGUGCAUGGUCUAGUGGUAUGAUUUUCGCUUCGCAUUCUCUAGCUGCGCCUUGUGAAAGGUCCCCGGUUCGAUCCCGGGUGCAUCCA